rfam:Lactobacillus mellis strain Hon2 genomic scaffold Hon2_scaffold2, whole genome shotgun sequence.
GGGGAUGUUAUGGAUUCGACAUAUAUAGUUGAGCACUGAUUGCAUCUCGUAGGUUACGUCUACGUAAAAACGUUACAGUUAAAUUAUAACUGCAAAAAAUAAUAACAAUUCUUACGCUUUAGCUGCUUAAAAACAGUUAUUAGUGUGAUCCUUUUAGCUUUGCUCAAGGGUUAAAUUGGGUCUUAAAAAAUUGAGCUACGUUUAAUUGCGCCACCUGAACAAUUAAAAAGAGAUCAACAGGAUAGUUAUUAAGGUGAGCCUGGUUGUACGGCGUUCUUAAUAAUGAAAUUUAAAUAGUGCAGCUAUGGAUGUAGAUAUUGGUGUGGCAGUAUGUAUGGACAGGAGUUCGAUUCUCCUCAUCUCCAUUA